rnacentral:rRNA from 1 species
AUGAACGCUAGCUACAGGCUUAACACAUGCAAGUCGAGGGGCAGCAUGGUCUUAGCUUGCUAAGGCCGAUGGCGACCGGCGCACGGGUGAGUAACACGUAUCCAACCUGCCGUCUACUCUUGGACAGCCUUCUGAAAGGAAGAUUAAUACAAGAUGGCAUCAUGAGUCCGCAUGUUCACAUGAUUAAAGGUAUUCCGGUAGACGAUGGGGAUGCGUUCCAUUAGAUAGUAGGCGGGGUAACGGCCCACCUAGUCUUCGAUGGAUAGGGGUUCUGAGAGGAAGGUCCCCCACAUUGGAACUGAGACACGGUCCAAACUCCUACGGGAGGCAGCAGUGAGGAAUAUUGGUCAAUGGGCGAGAGCCUGAACCAGCCAAGUAGCGUGAAGGAUGACUGCCCUAUGGGUUGUAAACUUCUUUUAUAAAGGAAUAAAGUCGGGUAUGGAUACCCGUUUGCAUGUACUUUAUGAAUAAGGAUCGGCUAACUCCGUGCCAGCAGCCGCGGUAAUACGGAGGAUCCGAGCGUUAUCCGGAUUUAUUGGGUUUAAAGGGAGCGUAGAUGGAUGUUUAAGUCAGUUGUGAAAGUUUGCGGCUCAACCGUAAAAUUGCAGUUGAUACUGGAUAUCUUGAGUGCAGUUGAGGCAGGCGGAAUUCGUGGUGUAGCGGUGAAAUGCUUAGAUAUCACGAAGAACUCCGAUUGCGAAGGCAGCCUGCUAAGCUGCAACUGACAUUGAGGCUCGAAAGUGUGGGUAUCAAACAGGAUUAGAUACCCUGGUAGUCCACACGGUAAACGAUGAAUACUCGCUGUUUGCGAUAUACUGCAAGCGGCCAAGCGAAAGCGUUAAGUAUUCCACCUGGGGAGUACGCCGGCAACGGUGAAACUCAAAGGAAUUGACGGGGGCCCGCACAAGCGGAGGAACAUGUGGUUUAAUUCGAUGAUACGCGAGGAACCUUACCCGGGCUUAAAUUGCAGAUGAAUUACGGUGAAAGCCGUAAGCCGCAAGGCAUCUGUGAAGGUGCUGCAUGGUUGUCGUCAGCUCGUGCCGUGAGGUGUCGGCUUAAGUGCCAUAACGAGCGCAACCCUUGUUGUCAGUUACUAACAGGUUCCGCUGAGGACUCUGACAAGACUGCCAUCGUAAGAUGUGAGGAAGGUGGGGAUGACGUCAAAUCAGCACGGCCCUUACGUCCGGGGCUACACACGUGUUACAAUGGGGGGUACAGAGGGCCGCUACCACGCGAGUGGAUGCCAAUCCCAAAAACCUCUCUCAGUUCGGACUGGAGUCUGCAACCCGACUCCACGAAGCUGGAUUCGCUAGUAAUCGCGCAUCAGCCACGGCGCGGUGAAUACGUUCCCGGGCCUUGUACACACCGCCCGUCACACCAUGAGAGUUGGGGAUACCCGAAGCCUGUGAGCCAACAUAUCUAUGAGGCAGCAGUCGAAGGUAGAAUCAAUGAUUGGGGUG